GGGGACGUAGCUCAGCUGGGAGAGCGCUGCCUUCGCAAGGCAGAAGUCGAGAGUUCAAAUCUCUUCGUCUCCACCA
rnacentral:tRNA from 1 species